GAUGAACGCUGGCGCGGGCCCAAAUAAUGCAAGUCGAGCGAACAGACGAGGAGCUUGCCCCCAUGACGUUAGCGGGGGACGGGGGAGUUACACCUGGAUAACCCACCUAUAAGACGGGGAACAACUUGGGAAACCGGAGGCUAAACCGGAAUAAAUACUGAAAAGAUUGGUUCAAAGGUGAAAGGAGGCUUUGGCGUCACUCAUAGAUGAUCCCGCGUCGCAUUAGCUAGUUGGUAAGGUAAAGGCUUACCAAGGCAACGAUGCGUAGCCGACCUGAGAGGGUGUCCGCCCACACUGGACCGGAGCCACGGUCCAGCCUCCUACGGGAGCCACCGUUAGGGAAUCUUCCGCAAUGGGCGAAGUCCUGACGGAGCAACGCCGCGUGAGUGAUGAAGGUCUUCGGAUCGUAAAACCCGGUUAUUAGGGAGGAACAAAUGUGGAAGGAACUGUGCACGUCUUGACGGUACCUAAUCAGAAAGCCACGGCUAACUACGUG
rnacentral:rRNA from 1 species